rnacentral:lncRNA from 1 species
UUUAAUACUGUUGACAACCUGUAGAAAGCUCAGCAAAAUCCUUCCUAAUCAAGUCAGACUUUCUAAAAAUAUUAUAACAAGAAUAAAUUAGAAAAUAUAUUUUCCUUUCUUUUGCUUGCAAUUAGGAUUCCUAAUUGAAUUGGGGGUUUGUUUUCUUAUUCCUAUUGCCAUAAAACUUGUACAACCUGGACAAAGCUCAGCGCUUCCUUACCUAAUACGACUCCAUAACAGACCCUAUAUAAAGGACCUCCCUCGAACCAAAUUCAUUACUCCAAGCAAAACCAAGAGAGAGAGAGAGAGCCAAAGCCUUUUAGAUCAUCAACGAUCAAAGAUAUGUGUGGAGGCAGCUUGGAAUCGAUAACCAUGGUGUCCAUGACACAAGAAGAAGUGAAUGGACAACAGAAGAGGGAGCGACACCAGAAUUUCCAGAUGCCUCUACACUAUCCAAGGUACAAGAAAUCGGACUAUGAGACGAUGCCGGAGUGGAAGCUAGAUUGUUUGCUUAAAUCGUAUGGGCUACCAAUCACUGGUGAUGUUGAAGAGAAGAGGAAAUCUGCCAUGGGACACUUCUUAUGGUCUUAACUAGGCCUCGUGGAUUGUUCUGCUAGCUAGUAUGAGAAGUUUGGUUGCAAUUACCUCUGGCUUAUGGUAAUAUACAGUUGAUCAAUGUACGUGUAAUGGUUCUUAGAUUAAUUUACUAUUGUUAUGAAAUCGUUUUUUACAUCUCGCCCUGACGGCUUCAAUUUUAUUAAAUGUAGAUUUUAAGUACUCGAUCUGCUAUGUAGAUUUUCUUUUACCAUGCACAACUAUUCCUUCAAUGAUACCUGUUCUUUUGACAUGCAUAUAUGGAAACAUUUUCUAUAGAGAAAAUACACAUUUAGUACUAAUUUAAACCAUUCAUUUCUCAUUUUAAUAUAAGGUAACUUUUUUUAUGCCGAAAUACACAAAUCUUUACUAAAGUCUUAACAAACUAUAUUAUUUUAAGACUAUUUUGCCCUCACCCCUUAAACAUGCAUAGAGAGAGAGAGAGAGAAAAUAGAAGAGAGAGAAUACUUGGUCGGAAUCUCACCGGACUCCGGUCACGGUCGCCGGAUUCCGGUCAUCGGUGACUCGGUUACUAACCCUGAAUAACUUGGUUACUGACCCCCAAUAAUCGGGUUACUACUCCCAAUAACUUGGUUACUAACCCUCAAUAAUCAGUUACUGACCCUCAAUAAUCGGGUUACUGACCCCCAAUAAUGAGUUACAAACCCCAUUAAUUAGGUUACUACCUUCAAUAACUUGGUUACUGACCUUCAAUAACUUGGUUACUGACCCACAGUAAUCAGUUACUGGCCCCCAUAAUCGGGUAACUUGGUAAUAAAUUACUGACCCACAGUAAUCAAUUACUGACCCAGUAACCAAGUUACUGACCCCUAAUAACUCAACAAUUCACACCAAAACUCAACAGUAAUCAAUUGCAAAACUUCAGGUCAAGCAAUUUACACCAAAACUCAACAAAACUUACUGUAUGAUAUAAAGCACAAUACACAAGCACAGUACACGAUUGAAAUUGUCAAGGUUCUCGAGCCUCCCCCUCCGAUUUCACCUGCACCGAAACCAACGCGCCAGUCUUCGUCCACUUGGAUUUGAACACCAAGGAGACCUCUACAACCUAGUCUUUCUCAGACCUUCAACCAUGUGGACGAAGCCAAAGCCGACGAAGUUGAUGAAGUUGGAGCCGACGAAGUUGAUGAAGCCAGAUCCGAAGAGCAGAGCCUAGUCGUCGGUGGACCAAAUCCAAUGGGAUGGUCGGAUUUGAUUGUUGUGACAAGAACAGAAGGUGAUGGUGGCCAGAUCGGGCGGUGACGAACCGACGUGAGAGAUCUAGCCUCGUCGGUGUCGAGGCCUUGUCAGUUGUCAGUACUAGUGCUUCACGUCGCCGGUGCUUCAGAUCGUAAGUGCUUUGUCGACGAGGGGAUUCACGGUUGAGAGAGAGAGAGAGAGUUUUCUGACAGGAGACGAGAGAGAAUGGUAGAUUAAAAGAGUGUGGGUAAUAUUGUCUUUUUGAUCAAAAUAAUUGAAAUGGGCUGCUCAUAUCUGUUUUCAUUGGAAUGGGCUUUAAAAACCUUGUUUUUGUGCAAAUGGCAUUAUCCCUUUUCAAUAUCAAGUAAAAAGAAAACCAAUUAAAGUGUGAAAAAUAUUGAAGCUCAAUACCUUCAUUGAAAUUAAGGCCUCGUUUGGUAACAUGGAAAAGAAAUUUGUUCCUUUGUAUUUCCAUGGGAAAGUAAAAUAAGAUUCCCAUUAGUUUUCCUUUCCAUUGUUUUGGGAUCGUUAAGAAAUUAAUGAGAAAACAUGAGUUUGUUUCCAUUUUGAUGUUUGGUUUGUGCAAGGAAAUAAGGAAACUAAAUCAUUUUGAAAUCUCAUUUAUGUCCUCAUAUAUUAAAAUAUAUAGUUGACAAGUUUCAUAGAUAAAAUUGUUAAUAAAAAUUUUCAACAAUGAUAUAAAUGUAUUUAUGCUAUGUAAUUAAUACACAUUUAAUGUAAUAUCUCACAUCGGCCAAACGGAGAGGGGUUAUGUGCUGUAUAUGUACAUGUCCACCUCCAAUCUAACACGAGGCUUUUUGGUGGCUCAGCGGCUUCGGAGGGGAUGUGUACUCCGAGGUUAAGCAUGCUGAUGCUAGAACAAUCCCAGGAUGGGUGACCUACUGGGAAGCUGCUCCUGAGCUACCGGAAACAAAACCGUGAGAGCCGGUGGGCCCAAAGCGGACAAUAUCGUGUUACGGCGGAAUGGGUCCUGCUGGGAUGUGACAAAUGGUAUCAGAGCCACUCUGCCGUGUGGUGUGAGUGUGCCGACGAGGGCGUCGGACUCCCAAGGGGGGUGGAUUGUAAUAUCCCACAUCGGCCAAACGGAGAGGGGUUAUGUGUUGUAUAUGUACAUGCCCACCUCCAAUCUAACACGAGGCCUUUUGGUGGCUCAGCGGCUUCGGAGGGGAUGGGUACUCCGAUGUUAAGCAUGUUGAUGCUAGAGCAAUCCCAGGAUGGGUGACCUACUGGGAAACUGCUCCUGAGCUGCCGGAAACAAAACCGUGAGGGCUGAUAGGCCCAAAGCGGACAAUAUCAUGUUACGGCGGAAUGAGUCUUGGGGUGUGACAUUUAAUGUUGGGAAAAUAGAAGGGAAAGUGAAUCAUUUGGAGAAUGGAAGGAUUUAAUUUCCCUCAUAUUUUCAUGUCUUAAAGAAAAGUUGUUCAUUUUCUUGUGCACACCAAACAUAGGAAAAUAACAACUUUCUUUUUACAAGUCUUUAAUUCUAUGAAACAAACGAGACCUAAAAGUAACUAAGUGCAAUACGUUCUGCAUGUUCUAUAGCUUCCACUAUUACUAAUCCAAAUUGGUUAUUGUUCAUGUAUUAUAUAUACAACCUGGACAAAGUUGAUAGAGGAUUCCUUUUUCAACUAGGUUUUCACAAUACCUCAAACAACAUUUGUUCCAUAACAUUUAGUCUACAGUAAAGAGAGUUACAUAACCCUAAAUAAACAGAUCAAUGGAAGCUCUAACCCUGUCAAAGAUAUCAAAAUGUUGGCUGCGAACUUUGAGAGCAUUUCGUUCACUCACAUUCUCAAAGAGGCCAACUUUGUGGCUGAUAGACUUGCAAACCUUGGUCACGAUACUUCCAAUUGUGUAAUUU